rnacentral:rRNA from 1 species
UACGUAGGGUGCGAGCGUUGCCCGGAUUUAUUGGGCGUAAAGGGUGCGUAGGCGGCGCGACAAGUUGGGUGUGAAAUCCCUCGGCUCAACCGAGGAACUGCGCCCAAAACUGUCGUGCUCGAGGGAGACAGAGGUGAGCGGAACUUAGGGUGGAGCGGUGAAAUGCGUUGAUAUCCUAAGGAACACCGGUGGCGAAAGCGGCUCACUGGGUCUCUUCUGACGCUGAGGCACGAAAGCUAGGGUAGCGAACGGG